UACGUAGGCAGCGAGCGUUGUUCGGAAUUACUGGGCGUAAAGAGUGUGUAGGCGGUGCUCUAAGUUCGGUGUGAAAUCUCCCGCUUAACUGGGAGGGUGCGCCGGAAACUGGAGUGCUCGAGCGUGGGAGAGGAAAGCGGAAUUCCUGGUGUAGCGGUGAAAUGCGUAGAUAUCAGGAGGAACACCGGCGGUGUAGACGGCUUUCUGGACCGUAGCUGACGCUGAGACACGAAAGCCGUGGGUAGCAAACAGG
rnacentral:rRNA from 1 species